rnacentral:rRNA from 1 species
AUACGGAGGGAGCAAGCGUUAUUCGGAAUCACUGGGCGUAAAGGACGCGUAGGCGGGUUUGUAAGUCAGGUGUGAAAUCCUACAGCUCAACUGUAGAACUGCACUUGAAACUACAGACCUAGAGUAUGGAAGGGGCAGAUGGAAUUAGUGGUGUAGGGGUAAACUCCGUAGAUAUCACUAGGAAUACCGAAAGCGAAGGCGAUCUGCUGGGACAUUACUGACGCUGAGGCGUGAAAGCGUGGGGAGCAAACAGGAUUAGAAACCCCAGUAGUCC